rnacentral:rRNA from 1 species
UACGUAGGGGGCGAGCGUUGUCCGGAUUUAUUGGGCGUAAAGAGCUCGUAGGCGGCUGGGCAAGUCGGGUGUGAAAACUCCAGGCUCAACUUGGAGACGCCACUUGAUACUGCCCUGGCUUGAGUCCGGUAGGGGAGCGCGGAAUUCCUGGUGUAGCGGUGAAAUGCGCAGAGAUCAGGAGGAACACCGGUGGCGAAGGCGGCGCUCUGGGCCGGUACUGACGCUGAGGAGCGAAAGCCAGGGGAGCAAACGGG